rfam:Varibaculum cambriense DORA_20 Q618_VCMC00001, whole genome shotgun sequence.
UUGUUUUUUGUUUUGAGCGUUUGGUGGAUGCCUUGGCAUCGUGUGCCGAUGAAGGACGUUGUGGCUGGCGAUAGCCUCGGGGAGUUAGCGAGCGUGCGUUGAUCCGGGGGUUUCCGAAUGGGGUAACCUGACCAUAGUUGUGUGUGGUUGGCGCGCAUCGAAGUUUUGAUAGGUGUGUGUUGGUAGGGUGGGAAGUGAAACAUCUUAGUACCGCCUUUUGUGAGAUAGUCCGUGUGUAGUGGUGAGCGAUAGCGGGUGUUGGCUAAACCGUUUGCGUGUGAUACUCGGCAGGGGUUGCGUAGGCGGGGUUGUGGGACGAAAUCGUUGAGAAUCUGCCGGUUCUUGGAGCGUUUUUGUGUGUGCGAGGUGAACAGGUUGGGAUGCCUGGCCGUAGACCGUGAGAGUCGGGUAGCUGGUUGCGUAUGCGUGGCGUUGGGUUUUGUUCCCGAGUAGCGCGGGGCUCGUGGAAUCUCGUGUGAAUCUGCCCAGACCAUUGGGUAAGCCUGGACGGGCAUGGUGACCGAUAGUGGAUUAGUACCGUGAGGGAAUGGUGAAAAGUACCCCGGGAGGGGAGUGAAAUAGUUCCUGAAACCAAGCGUUUUUAAGCCGUCAGAGCCGCGGGAUCCUUUCGGGGGUUGGUGUGGUGGUGGCGUGCCUAUUGAAGAAUGAGCCUGCGAGUUAUGUUGCGUUGCGAGGUUAACCUGUUGUGGGGUAGUCGUAGGGAAACCGAGUCCUGGGGGCGUAAUAGUAGCGUGGCAUAGACCCGAAGCGGGGUGAUCUACCCAUGGCCAGGUUGAAGCGGCGGUAGAACGUCGUGGAGGACCGCACCCACCUAGGUUGAAAACUGGGGGGAUGAGUUGUGGGUAGGGGUGAAAGGCCAAUCAAACUCCGUGAUAGCUGGUUCUCCCCGAAAUAUAUUUAGGUAUAGCGUUCCAUUUUUUGCUUGCGUGUGGUAGAGCUACUGGUUGGUUGAUGGGCCUUGUUGGUUACUGAGAUCUGCUAAACUCCGAAUGCGCGUUAAGUUGGUGGGGCAGUCAGACAGCGGGGGAUAAGCUUCGUUGUCGAGAGGGAAACAGCCCUGAUCAUCGGUUAAGGUCCCUAAGUGUGUGCUGAGUGGAAAAGGAUGUGUAGUUGCGUUGACAGCCAGGAGGUUGGCUUAGAAGCAGCCACCCUUGAAAGAGUGCGUAAUAGCUUACUGGUCGAGUGAUUGUGCGCCGAUAAUGUAGUGGGGCUUAAGCAUGCCACCGAAACUGUGACUACAAUGCUUUUUGGUGUUGUGGGGUAGGGGAGCGUCCUGCAUUGUUGUAGCGGCCUGGUGAUGGGUCGUGUGUGGUGUGGGAGUGAGAAUGCAGGCAUGAGUAGCGAGUCCAGUGUGAGAAUCGCUGGCGCCGAUAAACUAAGGGUUCCAGGGGAAGGUUUAUCCGCCCUGGGUUAGUCGGGUCCUAAGGCGAGGCCGUCAGGCGUAGUCGAUGGUUGAGCAGUUGAUAUUCUGCUACCGGGAUCAGACCGUAUAUAGCGCUCAUUUCUUUGAGCUUGACGCCCUUUUCAGUUGUUGUUCCCUUUCGGGGGUUUAGCAUCUGUUGGGUUUUGGGUUUUUGGUUUGAGUGUUUUAGCUUCGUGGUGACACAGUGAGAUUGCCUGGCGCGGUGGUGGUUUACCGUGUUCAAGCCUGUAGCCUGUCUUCUAGGCAAAUCCGGAAGACGCAUAUGGUGAGGGGUGAUGGUGAGGCCCGUUUUUGGGUUGAUAACAGGGUUGGUCUGUACUGUCGAGAAAAGCUGCGUUGUGAGGUGUGUUUCCGCCCGUACCCUAAACCGACUCUGGUAGUUGGGUAGAGAAUACUAAGGCGAGCGAGUGAAUCGUGGUUAAGGAAUUCGGCAAAUUGCCUCCGUAACUUCGGGAGAAGGAGGCCCCACCCCUUGAAGAGCGUUUUCUGUUCUAGGGGGUGUGGGGUGCAAUAGCAAGAUGGAAGCGACUGUUUAUCAAAAACAUAGGUGCGUGCGAAGCUGUAAGGCGAGGUAUACGCACUGACGCCUGCCCGGUGCCGGAAGGUUAAGAGGAGCUGUCAGCCCUUUUUGGGCGAAGCGGUGAAUUUAAGCCCCGGUAAACGGCGGUGGUAACUAUAACCAUCCUAAGGUAGCGAAAUUCCUUGUCGGGUAAGUUCCGACCUGCACGAAUGGCGUAACGACUUCUGUGCUGUCUUGACCGCGAACUCGGCGAAAUUGCAUUACGAGUAAAGAUGCUCGUUACGCGCAGCAGGACGGAAAGACCCCGGGACCUUUACUAUAGCUUGGUAUUGGUGGCUGGUUGUGUUUGUGUAGGAUAGGUGGGAGACGUUGAAGCAGUCACGCUAGUGGUUGUGGAGUCGGCAAGUGAAAUACCACUCUGAUGUUGCUGGUUAUCUGAACCUGGACCCAUUAUCUGGGUUAGGGACAGUGCCUGGUGGGUAGUUUAACUGGGGCGGUUGCCUCCUAAAUGGUAACGGAGGCGCUCAAAGGUUUCCUCAUCCUGGUUGGUAAUCAGGGUUCGAGUGUAAGUGCACAAGGAAGCUUGACUGUGACACUGACGGGUGGAGCAGGUACGAAAGUAGGAACUAGUGAUCCGGCAAUGGCUUAUGGAAGCGUUGUCGCUCAACGGAUAAAAGGUACCCCGGGGAUAACAGGCUGAUCUUGCCCAAGAGUCCAUAUCGACGGCAUGGUUUGGCACCUCGAUGUCGGCUCGUCGCAUCCUGGGGCUGGAGUUGGUCCCAAGGGUUGGGCUGUUCGCCCAUUAAAGCGGUACGCGAGCUGGGUUCAGAACGUCGUGAGACAGUUCGGUCCCUAUCCGCUGCGCGCGUUAAGACUUGAGAAAGUCCUGUCCCUAGUACGAGAGGACCGGGAUGGACGAACCUCUGGUGUGCCAGUUGUACCGCCAGGUGCAUGGCUGGUUGGCUAUGUUCGGAAAGGAUAACCGCUGAAAGCAUCUAAGCGGGAAGCCUGCUUUAAGAUGAGGUCUUUUAGGUUCCCAGCAGACUACUGGGUAGAUAGGCCAGAAGUGUACACGUUGUAAAACGCAAAGCUGACUGGUACUAAACAACCAUUAAAAAACAAAC